rnacentral:rRNA from 4 species
AUACGACUGUCGGCAACGGAUAUCUAGGCUCUCGCAUCGAUGAAGAACGUAGCAAAAUGCGAUACUUGGUGUGAAUUGCAGAAUCCCGUGAAUCAUCGAGUUUUUGAACGCAAGUUGCGCCCGAGGCCUUC